rnacentral:lncRNA from 1 species
AAAUGACAGUCUAUCUCAAUGUUUAAUGCGCUCGUAGAAAAUAUCAUCAUGUGUUAUUUGGAGAGUACUGCAAUUGUCACAAUGAAAGAUUAAUUCACCAUGAUGAUACACCCUCAUGUCUUCCAAUAGCCAUCGCAACCAUAAUAACUCCAAUAUAUAGUUUUUGUAUUAGAGCGAGCAACAAUGGUCUGUUUCUUUCUAUGCCAUGAGAUAAGUCAGGUGCC